UGSCUUGGGCUGUUUGUCUCUUCUACUCUGUCAGUCCUUGGGGCUGAGGAGUGAGAGGCCUCUGGAUUUCCCGUGCUUUACUGAAGCUGGUUGGGUUCACUGAGAUGUAGAAGUUUUGUCCAGCCAGGACCAUCCUAUGUAUCCCUGGAGAAGGCAGAAGAGCCUCUCCUGAGCCUUUCAAAUCCAGCUGUGCAGAGAGUAAAGACUUGCCAUGGGCUUGACCCAGAUUUCAGGUUCAGCUCCCUCAGGAAAAUAUCUUCAGGAAGAAAUUAAUUACCUAAAUUUCUGACAGGCAGGAGUUUCUAACAGCCRCUGACCCAGGAGCUGACUCAAGCACAACAUUUAGGGAACUGGUAUCAGAUCAGCCCUUCCCAUGAUGAAGCCACUGGUUCUGAGGAACAACUGAUAAGUUGGAGCUCACAGUUURCCCUGCCCAGUGGGGACAAUCCCAGCGAUGAGAAAUGGAGCAGCUGCACAGAAGAAUUCUAGGAAUAAUUAAUAAAUACCUUUCAAAAAUUUAUUAGCACUUUAAAGUUAGUUUCCAGACAAAACCUACUCACACUGAUU